rnacentral:tRNA from 1 species
GCAUUGGUGGUUCAGGGUAGAAUUCUCACCUUCUGUGAGAGAGACCCAGGUUCAAUACCCGGCCAGUGCA